CCAAGCUCGCUCGUUUUAUCUUCUGUCUCCUUCACACGGUGUAUGCGGGAGGCAGGGAAACCUCUUCAAGUACUACGGUAAAACGCCCUAGAUGAGAAGAACUCUGCGCGAUUCUGCGCACUGAAACUGAAAUUUCAAACAUUUUCAUUGGACGCUGUGAGGCGUCAAGGAGCAGGCGCAAAGGAGAAUAUAACUAGUGAAUGCUGAUAUAUGGAAGUUUAGUAGUUGGCGUACUUACGUCCUUUGGCUACUAUCCCUUUUAGGUACUAUGCCACGUGGAGCGUCGUGUCUGGGGUCGUUGACAUUUAACACGGCUAUUUAUAAUUUAUCGAUUUGUACUCCGAUGAACUUACUCUCGGAGGUUAAUUAAUUAUUAUCGUUGUAAGGUAUUCUGAAUGCAAAUAUACUGUAAUAAAAUUAA